rnacentral:rRNA from 1 species
AUGACCACGCCCUCGCAAUUCCAUUCCCAGCCGCUCCCAGUAAUCCUACUCCUCCUUUCAGCGGCGACUCACUUGAUCGUGGAGGCUGCUGCUGCUGAACAAGAUGAGCAGCAGCGGAUCACACGUGUGGGUUGCGCCGACAAGUGCGGCAACAUAAGCAUCCCGUACCCGUUUGGCAUGGAGCCAGGCUGCUUCCGUGAGGGCUUCCAGGUCACCUGCAAUGACUCCUCGAAUCCCCAUCGCGCCUACCUUGCCAACAACGGAGUAUACCAGCGGAUCGUCGAGUAUUAUGACAGAAUUGUCGAGGUGUGGUUUACUUAG